rnacentral:lncRNA from 1 species
GAAGGGAGAAAGGCUUACGGCCUAUGGUAAUUGUGUGGUUAUGGUAUUAAAAGGUUAUAAGAGAGGUUAGAUCAACUCAAAGAAGAAAAUGACUAGAGAUACCUCGUUGAUUGCUUUAGUCUUGAUUAUGGCCAUAAAUGGGUAACUUUACUUUAAACCAAAGAUGAAAGCAAGGGAGGAGACACCUUUAUUUAUAGACUAAAGGUGUCUUUUAAAAACCCUAAAAACUUAAGCUUUGCAUACCUUCCCAUCCAAGCUAUUCUUGGCUAAAAAUGAAGCCCUCUAAGAAAUGGACAAGUGU